rnacentral:rRNA from 1 species
UCGGGAAUUUUGGGCAAUGGGCGAAAGCCUGACCCAGCAACGCCGCGUGAAGGAUGAAGUAUUUCGGUAUGUAAACUUCGAAAGAAUAGGAAGAAUAAAUGACGGUACUAUUUAUAAGGUCCGGCUAACUACGUGCCAGCAGCCGCGGUAAUACGUAGGGACCAAGCGUUGUUCGGAUUUACUGGGCGUAAAGGGCGCGUAGGCGGCAAUUCAAGUCAUCUGUGAAAUCUCCGGGCUUAACUCGGAACGGCCAAGUGAUACUGCAAAGCUAGAGUGCAGAAGGGGCAAUCGGAAUUCUUGGUGUAGCGGUGAAAUGCGUAGAUAUCAAGAGGAACACCUGAGGUGAAGACGGGUUGCUGGGCUGACACUGACGCUGAGGCGCGAAAGCC